rnacentral:rRNA from 1 species
AGUGAACGCUGGCGGUAGGCCUAACACAUGCAAGUCGAACGGCAGCACAGUAAGAGCUUGCUCUUACGGGUGGCGAGUGGCGGACGGGUGAGGAAUACAUCGGAAUCUACUUUUUCGUGGGGGAUAACGUAGGGAAACUUACGCUAAUACCGCAUACGACCUACGGGUGAAAGCAGGGGAUCUUCGGACCUUGCGCGAUUGAAUGAGCCGAUGUCGGAUUAGCUAGUUGGCGGGGUAAAGGCCCACCAAGGCGACGAUCCGUAGCUGGUCUGAGAGGAUGAUCAGCCAAACUGGAACUGAGACACGGUCCAGACUCCUACGGGGAGCAGCAGUGGGGAAUAUUGGACAAUGGGCGCAAGCCUGAUCCAGCCAUACCGCGUGGGUGAAGAAGGCCUUCGGGUUGUAAAGCCCUUUUGUUGGGAAAGAAAAGCAGCAGGUUAAUACCCCGCUGUUCUGACGGUACCCAAAGAAUAAGCACCGGCUAACUUCGUG